CCUACGGGAGGCUGCAGUGAGGAAUAUUGGUCAAUGGACGGAAGUCUGAACCAGCCAGGCCGCGUGCAGGAAGACGGCUCGAUGAGUUGUAAACUGCUGUUGUACAAGGGUAAACCGGAAUACGUGUAUGCAGCUGAAAGUACAGUACGAAUAAGGAUCGGCUAACUCCGUGCCAGCAGCCGCGGUAAUACGGAGGAUCCAUGCGUUAUCCGGAUUUAUUGGGUUUAAAGGGUGCGUAGGCGGAUUGAUAAGGUAGCGGUGAAAUGUCCGUGCUUAACGCGGGAACUGCCUCUCAGACUGUUGUUCUUGAGCGUAGGUGCGGUAGGCGGCAU
rnacentral:rRNA from 1 species